rnacentral:tRNA from 1 species
UAAAGCCUGUGCGCAACUAUCGCACAUCAUCUGAAUGCAACUCAAAUACUUUAAUUAAGCUAAAGCCUU